CCUACGGGAGGCAGCAGUGAGGAAUAUUGGUCAAUGGGCGCGAGCCUGAACCAGCCAAGUAGCGUGAAGGCUGACUGCCCUACGGGUUGUACACUUCUUUUAUAAAGGAAUACAGUGAGGCACGUGUGCCUUUUUGUAUGUACUUUAUGAAUAAGGAUCGUCUAACUCCGUGCCAGCAGCCGCGGUAAUACGGAGGGUCCGAGCGUUAUCCGGAUGUAUUGGGUUUAAAGGGCGCGUAGAUGGGUUGUUAAGUCAGUUGUGAAAGUUUGCGGCUCAACCGUAAAAUUGCAAUUGAUACUGGCAGUCUUGAGUACAGUUGAGGUAGGCGGAAUUCGUGGUGUAGCGGUGAAAUGCUUAGAUAUCACGAAGAACUCCGAUUGCGAAGGCAGCUUACUAAACUGCCACUGACAUUGAUGCUCGAAAGUGUGGGUAUCAAACAGGAUUAGAUACCCGAGUAGUC
rnacentral:rRNA from 1 species